AGAGCCAGAGACGCUGCUCCCGCGGGAGGCCGCCCGCUACCUGGGGCGCCCGCCAGCGCCUCCUUCCCGGAUCCCAGCCGCCCCUGAUCCCGGGUUCCUCCAGGCCCGCAGCACCGUCCAGCCACCUCACUUGCCCUUCCCGCUUCGAGGCCAGCCGCUGGCCCGGCUACCUUCUCGGACAUCCUGGGGCGCCCCCCGCCCCAACCUCCUUGCAGCCUGGCCCAUCUCUGAGUCCCACCCGAGGUUGGGUACCAAGGCCUCCAGCUUCCGGGCCCCGUGACACCACCUCAGGGGUGCAGGCUGCUUCCACCUGCUGAGGCGCUGGGCCCAGCGAGCCCCCUCAGAAAGGCUGCGGUGGCGGUGCGGGGGUCUGUCUCCAGGCGUGCUGAGGGGCUUUGCCGAGACCCUGUCUCCUGCCCUUGGGCCCUCCACAUCCCUCAGGGAGACAGCCUUGGUCUGUUAGUGUCCUGGUUGUCAGAGUGACAGCGCUCGCUGACUCUCCUGAACAAGCCGAGGGAAGCCUGACUGGCCGGUGGACAAGGCCGCACUUUUUCACCCAAGUGGACGGUGGGAGGGACUCCUGCGGCCCCUCCGCGUGCCCGACCUGCAGGAGACUGUGGCACUAUAGGUUUUCCGCCUUUGUCCUGGUGCCUGAAGCUGCCGGUACCGAAGACAUGAUGCCAAGGGACCCAGGGCGCUUUCCCUCUGCCUCUGAUCCCACACUGCAUUGGUGUCCCAUCUUCUUUGGUUCCUCUGGGCUGUGACCGUCCUCGUUUUUGGUGUCUUGGAGGAGGUCCUGGAGGACUCCUUGGAGUUUUUCUGGUUUUCAUAUCUCGAGAUAACAGGGUGAUGGUUAUUGAAAGGAAGCCCGUGGAAGUAAAGUGUCGUUCUCAUCACACCCCAGCAGGACGUCGUGCUUUCCACAUGACUCCCACUGUCAGUGUUGACCUCGGUCACCUGGUCGUGGUAGUUCAACGGAUGUCCCCGUUUUCAUCCUGUCCUCUUGGGAAUGAAGUCACUGUGCACGGCCCACCCUUGAUGAGUGGUGGUUAUGCUCCCGAGAUAGGAAGAAAGGGGCCAAGGCACAAUCCUUAAAGA
ensembl:lncRNA